ensembl:snRNA U6 U6 spliceosomal RNA
GUGUUCACUUCGGCAACACAUGUACUAAAACUGGACAGACACAGAGACAGCAUGACCGCAGUGCAGGCUGACAUGCAAACUCAGGAAGUGAGCCAUAUUUUU